AUAACUUUAAGUUAAUAAAACUGUAAGCCUUCAAAGUUUAAAAUGAUUUGUUCAAGUUAUC
rnacentral:tRNA from 1 species